ACUCUUUCCCUGUUGCACUACUGUGGGCCGCUGGGAAGCAGUGCAAUGAUGAAAGGGCAU
ensembl:miRNA